ACGGAGUCCUCGUUGUCGGAGGACGGGGAGGGGGACUCGGAGUCGGAGGUGCGGAAGAGGACCAUCGAGAAGGUGGGUUCGUCGGGGGGAUCGGGGUGGGGGAUGGGCGCCUGAGAUUGGGGCAAGAGCGGCGGCGGCGGCGGGGCGGCCAGGCCGUCGUGGUGGUGGUGGUGGUGGUGGUGGGGGUGGUUGCGGUGGUGGUGGAAAAGGUCGUCUUCUACCUUGUUCGGAUUCAUUCUCGAGAAAAAGGGGAAGAGCAGAAAGGAGAGAUUUUUAGAGAGAGAAAGAGAGUAAAGAUUGGAUUUUGAUCAGUGAAUUGCAGAGAGGAAGUGAGGAUUCGAGAGUGGGGGAGCAGAGCGUUGGGGGGUCUUCAGCUUCUUCUCCUCCUCCAGGCCUGACAUUUGGGGGACUCGAGGGUUUGCUCCUCUCUCUCUCUCUCCUCUCUUUCUCUCUCUACAAAGACCUGUUCCACCUGAAGUGCAAAAGUCUAACCUAUGUGUGUUUUUCUUUUCUUUGGUUGUACUUUUCCCCUUCUCUCUCUCUCUCUCUCUCUCUCUCUCUCUGGGAAAACUACCAUUUUGCGCUUUAUGAUUCACACCCAUUUCAAAUUCUGCCCCAUGACUUCAUCAUGUCCC
rnacentral:lncRNA from 1 species